CGAGAGAAGUCCGUCUGAAAUUUGUUUGAUGUAGAAGUUUGUCUGAAGACUGUCCGCUGGAGAGGUCCGGUUGCAUGAGGAAUCCGACUGAAGGAUGAUCGAUAGAAGAGUCCGGAAGGCAUUGUGGAAGUUCAUCCACUGGAGGAGUCUAGAGGACACUGUGGAAGGUCGACUGCUGGAGGAGUCUGGAGGAAAUUUAUCCGUUGGAGGGGUCUGGUUAGCACUGUUGAAGUCCGAUUGGUACUAUUGAAGGUUGAUGACUGGAGAGAUAUGGAAGACACCGAAGACAGUCGGUCAUUGUAAAAAUCCGACUGCUGGAGCCCAUUCAUUGUAGAAAUUCAUCUGAAAUCCAUAUGUUGUAGAAGUUCGGACGGAGUCCGAUUCUUGCAGAAGUUCAAAAGGAGGUCGCUUACUGUAGAAGCUCGGAUGGAGACCGCUUAUUGUAGAAGUUCGGAUGAAAUUCACUUACAGUAGAAGCUCGGAUGGAGAUCGAUUGCCGUGGAAGCCCGGAUGGAGAUCACUUGUCGUGGAAGUUCGGACGGAAUUCACUUACAGUAGAAGCUCGGAUGGAGAUCGAUUAUCGUGGAAGCUCGGAUAGAGACCGCUUGUCGUGGAAGCCC
rnacentral:lncRNA from 1 species